rnacentral:tRNA from 1 species
UGGCUCAGUUGGUAGAGGAUGGUGUUUGCAAUGCCAGGGUUGUGGGUUCGAUUCCCAC